GAUAAACGCUGACAGAAUGCUUAACACAUGCAAGUCGAACGAACGACUGUAAUCGGAACCUUUCGGGGUAAAGAGAAUAGAAGUUAGUGGCGGACGGGUGCGUAACGCGUGGGUAAUCUGCCUUUGUCAAAGGGAUAACUAUUCGAAAGAAUAGCUAAAACCAUAUAAAGUAUUAUGAGGGCAUCCUGAUAAUAUCAAAACUGAGGUGGACAAAGAUGAGCCCGCGUCUGAUUAGCUAGUUGGUGAGAUAAAAGCCCACCAAGGCAACGAUCAGUAGCCGACCUGAGAGGGUGAACGGCCACAUUGGAACUGAGACACGGUCCAA
rnacentral:rRNA from 1 species